GGCUAAAGGAGAUAGGGUGCACUUAGACAUAUAUGCGAGCAAAUUGAUUCAACAAAUGGUCUCGAUAGCUGUGCCGAACUAUGAGCUACCAAAGAAUGACCCGAUCCCAAUUUAUUUGAAUCUUCCUAGACAAUCAAAUAACUAUGAUUGCGGAUUGUUUGUAAUAAAAUGGGUAGAAAUGUGAAAUCCUAGUAGUAUCGAGAUUAAUGUGUCCAACAUGCCAGAAUGGGAGGAAGUAAAUGUUUUUUUGUAUA